UCCAACUGCCAGACCCAUAACUCUCACUGUCAAUAUGAAGUUGUUUCUGGUUAUUUUAAUAUUACUGGGACAUUUAUCAGGGGUUCAUUGUGAAGUGCAACUUGCCCAGUCAGAGUCAGUGGUGAUAAAGCCGGGAGGGUCUCACGAACUGUCCUGCACAGCCUCUGGCUUCACAUUCAGUAACUUCUGGAUGAACUGGUUUAGACAGGCUCCUGGGAAAGGAUUACAGUGGGUAUCUAAUAUUAACUACAACGGGGCUGAGACAUACUAUGCUGAUUCAGUUAAAGGAAGAUUCACCAUCUCCAGAGACAAUAAUAACAACAAGUUAUAUCUGCAAAUGAACAAUCUACAUACUGAAGACACUGCCUUGUAUUACUGUGCUAGAGACACAGUGACAAAUAAUCACAGAGCAGUGCAGCAAAAACACUAA